UCAGAAGAGGCUACUACUAGCUAUCUAGCUUCAUGUUUAACUCUUCUUUGGUUUGUGUUUUUGUGUGCUUGUUGGAGUUGUUAGGAGGAAGAGAGGGGUGAGAGGUGAGGCUGACAGAAGAGAGUGAGCACACAUGGUGACUUUCUUGCAUGCUGAAUGGACUCAUGCUUGAAGCUAUGUGUGCUCACUUCUCUCUCUGUCAGCCAUUUGAUCUCUCUUUCUCUCUUUCUCCCUCAUGUGUUAUACUGUUCUCUCAUAUCUAUCUUCUUUGAGGUAGUAAUAUACUUGAGCAAAUUAAGCUGCUUAAUUAUUUGUGUAUGAUGAUCAGCUGCUGAUCCGGCCUCAUUUCUUGCAUAUAUGAGAUCAGUUUCAACCACAACCACAUACAUGCUUGUUCAUUUUUUUUCACAAAGAAAGAGAACAGUUUAAUUUAAUUUCUUGGGGUUUUUGGAUCAGUUAAUUUGUCUUGAGAGGGGAAGAGAUCUCUAUGGGUUUUGGAGGUCUGACAGAAGAGAGUGAGCACACACGGUGCUUUCUUAGCAUGCAAGAGCCAUGCUGGGAGCUGUGCGUGCUCACUCUCUAUCUGUCAGCCGUUCACCAUGCCCAAUAUGAUUAAUCUCCUUCUCUCAGUUGACAGUAAUUUCUUUGCCAGAUCUCCUGUUAAAUUUUCUGCCUAGCUAGCUAUUAUGCACAUGCUUAUUAUGAUGAGCCUGCCAAUAUCAUCUCCACGGCAAAACACAAACUAGCUAUGAUUUGAUUCAUUAUAUUUCUUUUCGCUGUUUAAUUAAUUAUAUGCAG
rnacentral:precursor_RNA from 1 species